rnacentral:tRNA from 1 species
GGGCCCAUAGUCGAGUGGUUAACUGCUCGGGGGAGGCUUAGACGUUCGCUUGACAUGCGAAAGACCGCCGGUCCGAUUCCGGCUGGGCCCA